rnacentral:rRNA from 1 species
CCUACGGGAGGCAGCAGGCGCGCAAAUUACCCAAUCCCGACACGGGGAGGUAGUGACAAUAAAUACUGAUACAGGGCUCUUUUGGGUCUUGUAAUUGGAAUGAGUACAAUUUAAAUCCCUUAACGAGGAACAAUUGGAGGGCAAGUCUGGUGCCAGCAGCCGCGGUAAU